rnacentral:tRNA from 1 species
UCCUCGGUAGCUCAAUGGUAGAGCAUCCGGCUGUUAACCGGAGGGUUGUAGGUUCAAGUCCUACCCGGGGAGCCA